ensembl:lncRNA
AUGGAUUUAGAGGAAAACAAAGUCAUUUCUAAAACGUGGGAAUCUGUGAGAAAUAGGCCACAUUGCUAAGUGGGACAAUGAUUGGGCUCUCUCCCCCCUCCCUCCCCUGAAUAGACCCAAAGAAAGUUUAUGGGUCGACAUAAAAAAUGUGUUUUCUUCUGCACUCAGAGGGGUCUUCAAUGGUUAGACCAUUGAAACCAGUCCAGGAGAGGUGGUGGUGAACCCUUGGCACCCCUGAAGUAUAGUCAGGGCGCAUGAAUGGAGAUCCCUGGUGGGGCAUUGCUCUCCGUAUUUACCGCGUUGCUUUGCAGACAGGUUGUUCCUCUAUAUUCAUGGGUCAUUAAUGGCCAACCAGUUAAAUCAGAGAGAGCCCCACCGUUUAGACAGUUUUAAUCCAAAAAAGGCUGGCAAGAGGCAGGCAGAGAGGGCCAUAAAAAAGAAGAAAAAACCCGACUCCCACCUCUUCCGAGCACCAAUUCUUCUCAGGUCGUUAUUUAAGUUUAUUAAAGAGAAGAAGAGUUCAUUAAAAAGAAAGAGCACUCGCAGAAUCCGCAAUAGUUUCUGAAUAAAGAUCCAACUAUGUAAUUAAUGUUUUUCUUAAAAAAAAUAGAAAAAAAAAGAAUAGGAGGAGGCACAAUAAGGCCGCUCCAGCCAUUUAAUUUCAUUUAAUUUUCCAUCCCAUUUGCCUCCAACACUGCCGUCACUCUGACACCGAGCCUUUUGACCACUCUUCAGGGCUUCAGAGCGCACAGCGGAGCGGGGAUUCACCCCGGCGACUUUUUCCGCUAACAGAAAGGCAACGUCUUCCCCUCUUUUUUCUUCGUUUUCUUUCCUCCUUUCAUUCACCCCACCUCCUCCUCAGAGAAUAAUUAAUUUCACUGUGGAGAAGUGCGGGCCUUUAAAGCAAAGCAGGGGUGGAUGGGAACCAGUCGCAAAUGGCGAGGCGUUAAUAAAUAACUCCCCCGCACAGCCGGGCGCAAAAACAUUGACGAGAUUGUUCGCGUGUAGUUCAGGACUGUGGAGGAGCGCAGGGAGGUGGGGGCGAAGGGGGAAAAUAGUACCUGAAAUAGUUUAUUUUCAUUUUGUGUGAAAUAGUUUAUUUUCAUUUUGUGGAGAGAUAACUAGCGGAAAUGCACUAAUGAAGUGCUUUUAUUUCAUUUUAUUUUUUAAAUUAUUUAUUUAUUUAUUUAUUUAUUUAUUUAUUUGGGGUUUUUUUGGGGGGGGGGGUCUCUUUAUUUAUCACCAUCUUUUUGGUUCUAAUGUCGCAUACCCACAGUCUUUCCUCACUCUAAUCCCCUUCCAAGAUAGUUUUAGUACCACAUGUUUUACAUUAAUUGCGUGUGUGUGUAAGAGAGAGACACAGGGAGACGUGCACAGUGGACAGGUCAGAGGUCAACUUGUUCAUGGUCUGAACUGAUCACCCAGUUGUUGUUUUUUCAGUUCAGACUCAUAGACAGCAUCAAAAAGCAUCCGUAUCUUUAAACAACCUGCUGCGCGGAGCCUCAUUGUGAAUGUGAUUCUAAGUCUGCCAGUACACAGACACUGUGUUCGCCAAACAAGUGGGUUUUGGUGGGCAUCACAUAAGAGCUACAGAUCCAAGAAUAUGGAAAGAAUAAUUAAAAUAUAUUAACAUCCAUUCUCAAAUGACUUAACAUCGCAAAAAAAAAAAAAAAAAAGAAAAAGAAAAAAAG